ensembl:lncRNA novel transcript
CAUCAAACACUGAUGCCAGUUAAAGUAAAGCCACAUAACAUUUGGGUUUUAGCAGUUAAACUGCUACCACGUGGAAUUAUAUUAUUACUUGGUAGCAGUCAACAAUAAGAAAUGAAAAAUUAUGCUUCUGUGAAACAGUUCAUUCUUCUGGGAUUAACAGAUGACCCAAAGCUAAAUGUUUUGAUUUUUAUAUUUCUAUUUUUUACAUAUAUACUGAGUAUAACUGGGAACCUGACAAUUAUUACUCUCACUUUGAUAGAUGUGCACCUCAAAACACCCAUGUACUUUUUCCUUAGGAAUUUCUCUUUUCUAGAAAUCUCAUUCACAACAGUUUGUAUUCCUAGGUUUCUGGUCAGCAUCGUAACAGGGGAUAAGACCAUUUCUUAUAAUUCUUGCAUGGCCCAGGUAUUUUUCUUUAUACUCCUUGGUUCAACAGAAUUUUUCCUUUUGACUGCUAUGUCCUAUGAUUGUUAUGUUGCUAUCUGUAAGCCACUGCACUACACAACAAUAAUGAACAGCAGAGUCUGCAUCCAGCUUGUAAUUAGCUCUUGGCUAGCUGGAUUUCUCAUUAUCUUUCCACCUGUAAUUAUGGGGCUUCAACUGGAUUUCUGUGACUCCAACAUCAUUGAUCACUUUACCUGUGAUUCCUCUCCUAUGCUACUGAUCUCCUGCACAGACACAGCGUUUCUAGAGUUCAUGGGAUUUUUCCUGGCCAUAUUCACUCUCAUGGUAACCUUAACAUUAGUGAUUCUUUCCUAUGUAUUCAUCCUUAAGACAAUCCUGAGAAUUCCUUCUGCUGAACAAAGGAAAAAGGCCUUUUCCACUUGUUCUUCACACAUGAUUGUUGUCUCCAUUUCUUAUGGAAGCUGCAUUUUCAUGUAUGUCAAAACAUCAGCAAAAGAAGGAGUGGCUUUGACCAAGGGUAUAGCAGUGCUCAAUACCUCUGUAGCCCCAGUGUUAAAUCCUUUUACUUACUCCCUAAGGAACCAGUAGGUAAAACAGUCUUUUCAGAACUUGAUCAAAAAAUGUUUUUCAAAUAAA